rnacentral:rRNA from 1 species
GUAGGUGGCAAGCGUUGUCCGGAAUUAUUGGGCGUAAAGCGCGCGCAGGCGGUUCUUUAAGUCUGAUGUGAAAGCCCACGGGCUCAACCGUGGAGGGUCAUUGGAAACUGGAGAACUUGAGUACAGAAGAGGAAAGCGGAAUUCCACGUGUAGCGGUGAAAUGCGUAGAGAUGUGGAGGAACACCAGUGGCGAAGGCGGCUUUCUGGUCUGUAACUGACGCUGAGGCGCGAAAGCGUGGGGAGCAAACAGGAUUAGAUACCCUGGUAGUCCACGCCGUAAACGAUGAGUGCUAAGUGUUAGGGGGUUUCCGCCCCUUAGUGCUGCAGCUAACGCAUUAAGCACCCCGCCUGGGGAGUACGGCCGCAAAGGCUG